rnacentral:rRNA from 1 species
CGCUUGGCUGACGAGUGGGAGACGGGUGAGAAAUGUGGGGGAAACGGCCUGAUGGAGGGGGAUAACCCCGGGAAACGGGGGCUAAUACCGAAAAACGUCUGAAGACCAAGGAGGGGGACCUUCGGGCCUCUUGCCCUGGGAUGUGCCCAUAGGGCAUUAGCUAGUAGGUGGGGUAAAGGCUCACGGCUCAACAAUGCCUAGAUGGUCUGACAAGAUGACCUGGUGAUUGGAACUGAGACACGGUCCAGACUCCUACGGGAGGCAGCAGUGGGGAAUAUUGCACAAUGGGCGCAUGCCUGAUGCUCUGAAUGCCGCGUGUAUGAAGAAGGCCUUCGGGUUGUCGGGACUUUCACUCUGGAGAAAGGGAAGAAAGUUAAUACCUGGGAUUGCUCAUUGGGAUACCCGACGGAACCUAAGUCCGGCUAACUCCGUGCCCUACGCCCCAGUAAUACGCGAGGGUUGGCAAGCGUUAAUCGGAAUUACUGGAAUUAUUGGGGCCGUAAUGGACGCGUUUGUGUGGUCUUAUGUGAAAUCGUCGGGCUCAACCUGGUCACUGCAUCCGAGUCUGGCCACCUGGUGAUCUCGUGAGUGGGUAGAAGUGCCGGUGUUCCGUGUGUAUGCGGUGAGAUGCUGGAAGAAUACCGAGUGGCGAAUGCGGCCCCAAGGUUAAACUUUCACUGACUGCUCAUGUGCCUGAGCGCUGCGAGAGCGUGUGGGAU